rnacentral:rRNA from 1 species
CACGUAGGGGGCAAGCGUUGUCCGGAUUUACUGGGCGUAAAGAGCUCGUAGGUGGUUCGAUAAGUCGGGUGUGAAAACUCUGGGCUCAACCCAGAGACGCCACCCGAUACUGUCGUGACUAGAGUCCGGUAGAGGAGUGUGGAAUUCCCGGUGUAGCGGUGAAAUGCGCAGAUAUCGGGAAGAACACCCGUGGCGAAGGCGGCACUCUGGGACGGUACUGACGCUGAGACGCGAAAGCGUGGGGAGCGAACAGG